UUCAGGACAACUUGGAGUCCAGGUGGAAACUGCUCCUGAUGGUGGCACUCUUCCCUCAGUUGCCACUGAGAAAGAUUCACACACCGCGAAAGAAGACAGCGGAGAAGUAUUUUUGACCUCUUCUGCCACAGAACAGAGCCUAAAGAGAGCCCGGGAACCUGGACACCAAGUUUUUUCCUGCAAUCUUCUCCUGAGUCAAGAAUAACUCAGACUUACAAAAGGAUAAAAAUAGUGUUUGAGUUAAUCCUGUCUCAACUGUUUAAUAAGGAAAACGAAGAAGGGACACAUAUAGAGCCUUCCACUUCAGAUUACGCCUGUUGUCCACAGGCUGGAUUCAACAGUCCAGGACUCAACCAAUUGGCAAAGCCCUUUUUUAAGGA